rnacentral:rRNA from 1 species
GAUGAACGCUAGCGGCAGGCUUAACACAUGCAAGUCGAGGGGUAGAGUGGCUUCGGCUACUUGAGACCGGCGCACGGGUGCGUAACGCGUAUGCAAUCUACCUUAUACAGGGGGAUAGCCCAGAGAAAUUUGGAUUAAUACCCCAUAGUAUUUUCGAAUGGCAUCAUUUGAUUAUUAAAGUUCCAACGGUAUAAGAUGAGCAUGCGUCCCAUUAGCUAGAUGGUAAGGUAACGGCUUACCAUGGCUACGAUGGGUAGGGGUCCUGAGAGGGAGAUCCCCCACACUGGUACUGAGACACGGACCAGACUCCUACGGGAGGCAGCAGUGAGGAAUAUUGGACAAUGGGCGCAAGCCUGAUCCAGCCAUGCCGCGUGCAGGAAGAAGCAUCUAUGGUGUGUAAACUGCUUUUGUACAGGAAGAAACACCCCUUCGUGAAGGGACUUGACGGUACUGUAAGAAUAAGGAUCGGCUAACUCCGUGCCAGCCGCCGCCGUAAAAC